rnacentral:rRNA from 1 species
GACGAACGCUGGCGGCGUGCUUAACACAUGCAAGUCGAACGGUAAGGCCCUGCUGUUGUCGCGAGCGCCGAAGGCGAGAGUGUGAGUAAAACGAGCGUAACAUCCCCUUGACAUUGGUAUAACAAACGGAUACUGGUACUAAAAACGGACAGGACCUCCUUCUGCAUGGGGGGGGAUGUUACGGCUCGGCGGUUGGGGAUGGACUCGCGGCUUAUCAGCUUGUUGGUGGGGUAGUGGCAUACCAAGGCUUUGACGGGUAGCCGGCCUGAGAGGGUGACCGGCCACAUUGGGACUGAGAUACGGCCCAGACUCCUACGGGAGGCAGCAGUGGGGAAUAUUGCACAAUGGGCGGAAGCCUGAUCCAGCAACGCCGCGUGAGGGAUGACGGCCUUCGGGUUGUAAACCUCUUUCGGCAGGGACGAAGCGCAAGUGACGGUAACUGGAAAAGAAGCACCGGCUAACUACGUG